UACGAAGGGUGCAAGCGUUACUCGGAAUUACUGGGCGUAAAGCGUGCGUAGGUGGUUUGUUAAGUCUGUUGUGAAAGCCCCGGGCUCAACCUGGGAAUGGCAAUGGAUACUGGCAAGCUAGAGUGCGGUAGAGGGUAGUGGAAUUCCCGGUGUAGCGGUGAAAUGCGUAGAGAUCGGGAGGAACACCAGUGGCGAAGGCGGCUACCUGGACCAGCACUGACACUGAGGCACGAAAGCGUGGG
rnacentral:rRNA from 1 species